rnacentral:rRNA from 1 species
GAUGAACGCUAGCGGCAGGCCUAAUACAUGCAAGUCGAACGAGAUUAAGAGGCUUGCUUCUUAUGAAAGUGGCGCACGGGUGCGUAACGCGUAUGCAACCUACCUUACUCAGGGGGAUAGCCCGAAGAAAUUCGGAUUAAGACCGCAUAAAAACACAGGAUAGCAUUAUCCAAUGUUCAAAUAUUUAUAGGAUUAAGAUGGGCAUGCGUGUCAUUAGCUAGUUGGCGGGGUAACGGCCCACCAAGGCGACGAUGACUAGGGGAUCUGAGAGGAUGACCCCCCACACUGGUACUGAGACACGGGCCAGACUCCUACGGGAGGCAGCAGUAAGGAAUAUUGGUCAAUGGAGGGAACUCUGAACCAGCCAUGCCGCGUGCAGGAAGACAGCCCUCUGGGUCGUAAACUGCUUUUAUUCGGGAAUAAACCUUUCUACGUGUAGGAAGCUGAAUGUACCGAAGGAAUAAGGAUCGGCUAACUCCGUG